UACGGAGGGUGCGAGCGUUAAUCGGAAUUACUGGGCGUAAAGGGUGCGUAGGUGGUUUGAUAAGUUAUCUGUGAAAUUCCUGGGCUUAACCUGGGGUGGUCAGAUGAUACUGUUGGACUAGAGGACGGUAGAGGCGUGUGGAAUUCCGGGUGUAGUGGUGAAAUGCGUAGAGAUCCGGAGGAACACCAGUGGCGAAGGCGACACGCUGGGCCGUACCUGACACUGAUGCGCGACAGCAUGGGGAGCAAACAGG
rnacentral:rRNA from 1 species